AGCGUUUAGCCGGGCCCACCCUGUGGACGGUGGCUCAGUGGGGUCCUUCUUAACUUGUCCUGCGAAGGAAGCGCGAGGGGAAGUGAUUUGCAUACUACCGAGCCAGAUCCUUCUUUUAAAACUACGUCCUAUGAAACAACUAGACGAAAUGUUUAAAAGAAAUAUUUACUUACAUCUCCGAGAUUGUAACAGCUGUUUCCAUGUUUCUUUAGUCUCUUCGAGGACGUGGCCAUGGCUUCUGUGACCUUUUACAUUCUGUCAGGAUCUUUCACUAUGUCCAAUUUUCUGAGGAACUGCCAGACUGAUUUCCAGAGUGGUUGUACCAACUUGCAAUCCCACCAGCAAUGAAGGAGUCUUCCUCUUUCUCCACAUCCUCGACAGCAUCUGCUGACACCUGAGUUUUUCUUAUCUUAGCCAUUCUCACUGAUUCAGUGGAUCUGGUUUUAUAUGGCGGUUCCUGAACCAUGCGGACAAACAGAAGUAUUGGUUACUUUCCUCCCUCCAGCAGAGCUUUCCACCCUCCCUUCUCUGGGAAGCUACAGUGAAGGUCUGAAAGACCUCCGAUACAAAGUAAGAGUCCAUCGUUAGGAAGCCCAACCUCCGAUACAAUUGCUGGGAUCACAGACCCAUGUCACCACUCAAGAUUCAGAAAGUUAUUUUUUAAAAUGAACAUCCCAAUUACAAAGAAAAGUGUGUAUCUCUGCAUUUGCAUACUAGAAGUCCCUGAGAGAGAUCAGAGACAAUGAAAAGGAAGAAAUUGUUGGCACCCAGGAGUUGGCCCAUAAACCACAGGAACACCAAUCUCAGUCAGACUGUCCCAGGACUGAUUGAUCAGGGCCACAGAGCAGAUUCGGGAGCUGGCUGUGACACCCCCCCCCCCAGCCAGGAUCCUACAGAGCUUGCCUGAAACCCACAAGCAUCUAUGCCAAGUUAUUCCACCAAUCAGAAUUUAGGGAUAGAGGAUUUCCUUGGGAACAUGUCUUUGUUGAACACUAAUCCUGUUCCCAUUGGUCAGGGUAUUCGACUGUGGUGGGGGGACUUGUCUUGCCUAACAUACAUGUCUUAACUUGCCAACUAGGAUGUCAAUUACCCAUGUAUAUGACUCUUUCUGCCAAGUAGGUUCCGGUCUAAGCUUACUGUGGCUAACUAUACAAAACAGUCCUACUGACUGACUUCUGCUGUGAUUGGUUUCCAAGAACACCAAAGCACAGAACAUAACAGAAUAUGCAAUCAAUGAAGGCAUGAGAAAGUUUCCUUGUAAUGUUAGCAACAGUAGAAAAUGGCUGUGUCACCAAUUACCCAGGCCUUGACAGAAGCUAUCAAACAACUUAUCCAGAAAAGUUUUUCCUGAGCUGCCAGAUGGCUUAUGGGUAAAGGCACUUGCAACGAGCCUGAGUACAUGGGUAUGGACCCCACGACCCCCAGGGCAGAAAUAGAGAAUCAGUUCCUUAAAGCUGUCCUCUGACUGCCACACUCAAGGGUCUCCCUCCCUCCUCCUCAAUCCCUCUCCCUCCCUCUGUGAGAAGAAAAAAAAAAGUAAGAGUGUGAACUUCCUAGGAGAACAUACAAGCCUCUUGCCAAGGAGAAGAGGAGACAUGAGGAAAGAAAGCACCUGGUGCGGAGCUUGAUUCCCCAUGCAUGGAUGUGAAAUGCCCAGGAUGCUAUAAAAUCACCACAGUCAUUAGCCAAGCACAAAUGGUCAUCCAGUGUGUUGGCUGCUGCACUGUCCUGGCAGCCUACAGGCGGAAAAGGAAGCUGAUAGAAGGAUGUUUCUUCAGGGGGAGGCAGAACUCAAAGCAUCUGAUUCAAGACAAGUAGGAACCAUCCCAAUAAGCACGUUUUGGAUUUUUUAAAAAAAUGUAAGAAAAUAUUUUUCCAGAAGCAAAGGAUAUGAAGUUCUAAGCUGGAAGAGCCUAGAAAAUAAGGCAUGUCUGAUCUUAAAACGAGUGGUCCAAGGUUAUCGAGCCAUGGUGGGAUACACCUUUGAUCCCAGCAUUCAGGAGACAAAGGCAAGGGGAUCUCUGAGUUUGAGGCCAGUGUGGUCUACAGAGUGAGUUCCAGGACAGUCAGGGUUACACAGAGAACCCCUGUCUUGAAAAAAAUAAAAAAGAUAAAAAUGGUCCAAGAUCUUGAAUGUUGAUUUUCCCAAAAAACAUGGUCACCAAGCACAUGGAAAGAUGUUGGACAUCACUAAUUAUCAGGAAAAUACAACCAAACCCACAAAAAUCACCUCAUACCUGCUUGGGCGGUUAUUACUGGAAAAAUACGUAACACAAAUUGGCAAAGAUAUGCAGAAUAGGGAAGGAAGCUUUACCCACUUUUGGUAGGAAUUUAAAUUUAUACAGCCUUUGUGGAAAACAGUGUGGAAAGAAGAAAAAUAUAGUAUAGAAGUUCCUCAAACUAAAACCAGGACUAUUAUAUGAUCUAGCAAUGCCAUCUGAACAUGUAUGACAAAGACCUGAACUCAGGCUAUCAAAGGAUUUAUCUACACCCCUAUGUUCACUAUUAUCCAUUAUCCAUAUUAGGCAAAACAGAAAUAAUCUAAUGCCCAAUGGUGAAUAAGUGAAUACAGGGAAUAUGAAUAAACAUUAAGAGUUAUAUCUAACCUUUAAAAAGAAGAAACAUAGCUGGGCGGUAGUGGUGCAUACCUUUAGUCCCAGUAUUCAGGAGGCAGAAGCAGGUGGAUCUCUGUGAGUUCCAGGGCAGCCUGAUCUAUGGUCUACAGAGUUAGCAAGUUCCAGGACAGCCAGGACUGUCUGGAAAAUCAAACACACACACACACACACACACACACACACACACACACACACACACUGACCCAAAUCAUAAUGGUCAAAUUAAUUAAGCAAGCAAUUAUUAAUUAAAGCAAGGUUUUUUUUUUCAUUUGUACAGGGGCUGCCUCCACCUAAGAUGGGGUUUGAGAGGUCAGCAUUAGAUAUUAAGACAAGGUUUUAUAGCUCAGGGAUAGGGGUUUUCCAAAUGGGGGAUUUGGCAGGCAAAAAGUAGGCAGAGUUAUAGGAGCAGAACAUAAGCACAAGUUAAUCAUAAUGCCCUCCCCAAACCAAGACGUGACUGCAAGGUGGUUGGUUGUAAUAUUGGGUAGUCAUAGCAACCUUUUUGAAACAAAGGUAGGGUUGCAAGAUGGUUAUUAACUUUUUGAAAGAAAGACAUGAUGGCCAUUCCUGGAACAGUCAGUACAGAACCAGUAGUUAACGGUUACAGUGGGGUAUAUCCCAAUCCUUGGGAAACAAAGAUUUAAUCAAAAUAGGAAUGAAACUAGUUUCUCUUUACAAAAAAAAAAAAAAGGCUGUUUUGUUUUGUUCUGUUUUGUUUUGUUUUUGGAGACAGGGUUUCCCUGUGUAGCCCUGGCUGUCCUGGAACUCACUCUGUAGACCAGGCUGGCCUCGAACUCAGAAAUCCGCCUGCCUCUGCCUCCCAAGUGCUGGGAUUAAAGGCAUGCACCACCACCACCUGGCUUAAAAAAAAUGGCUUUUACUGCUGUGAUAAACCUGACCAUAGUUUUGUUUGGAAGAAUGUGGAUUUGGGGACUUUGGAUUUGGAAAGCUAUGGAAUGCUUUAAGUGGGGCUUAAUGAGCCAUCCUAGCAGGAAUAUAGAAGACUUUUUCUGUGAGUGAAUUGAGCUGUGCAGGCUCAAGAGGUUUCAGUGGAGAAUAAUUUCAGUAUGUGGCCUAGAGACUGUUUUUGUGUUGUUUUAGUGAAGACCGUGGCUGCCUUUUGCCCUUAUCUGAAGAGUCUUCUUGAAACUGAGGUGAAGAGACUCAUUAAUAGCAUUGACAAAGGAAGUCUUCAGAAACUCCCAUCAUAGACUUUGUUCUCUGGUUAAGUCUCAUGCAAAGCAUUUUGAAUAAGCCUAGCAAGCUUAGAAAAGAAAUUUACUAAAUACAUGGUUCCAGUAUUAAAAGGGCUCCAGGAAGUGGAAUGGAGCUGAAUCCUGUGUUCAAGGAUAUUAUAUUGAAUUAAGGGAGUAGUGACCUUGGGGCCAGAUCCUACCCAGGUAACUUUAGGUCCAGGCAUAGUACUAUACACCUUUAAUCCCAAAAGACAAAGUCAAGCAGAUCUC